GUAGGAGAGCGUUCUAAGGGCGUUGAAGGCAGAUCGUGAGGACUGCUGGAGCGCUUAGAAGUGAGAAUGCCGGUAUGAGUAGCGAAAGACAGGUGAGAAUCCUGUCCACCGAAUGACUAAGGUUUCCUGGGGAAGGCUCGUCCGCCCAGGGUUAGUCGGGACCUAAGCCGAGGCCGACAGGCGUAGGCGAUGGACAACAGGUUGAUAUUCCUGUACCCGUUGUUUUUGUUUGAGCAAUGGAGGGACGCAGGAGGCUAAGAAGUGCAGACUGAUGGAUAUGUCUGUUCAAGCAGUAAGUCUUGGUAGGAGUCAAAUGCUUCUACCUAUACGGACAAGCUGUGAUGAGGAGGGAAAUAAUAGUACCGAAGCUUCUGAUGUCACACUGCCAAGAAAAGCUUCUAGUGAGAAAACAACGGCCCGUACCGCAAACCGACACAGGUAGUCGAGGAGAGAAUCCUAAGGUGAGCGAGAGAACUCUCGUUAAGGAACUCGGCAAAAUGACCCCGUAACUUCGGGAGAAGGGGUGCUGCUCUAACGAGCAGCCGCAGUGAAUAGGCCCAAGCGACUGUUUAUCAAAAACACAGGUCUCUGCAAAAUCGAAAGAUGACGUAUAGGGGCUGACG
rnacentral:rRNA from 1 species